rnacentral:rRNA from 1 species
GACGAACGCUGGCGGCGUGCCUAACACAUGCAAGUCGUGCGAGAAAGUUCCUUCGGGAGCGAGUAAAGCGGCGCACGGGUGAGUAACACGUAGGUAACCUGCCCCCCAGUCUGGAACAACUAGAGGAAACUCUAGCUAAUGCCGGAUGAGACCACGAUCCCUUCGGGGGUUGCGGCCAAAGAUGGCCUCUACUUGUAAGCUAUCGCUGAGGGAUGGGCCUGCGGGCCAUUAGCUUGUUGGUGAGGUAACGGCUCACCAAGGCUGUGAUGGCUAGCUGGUCUGAGAGGAUGACCAGCCACACUGGGACUGAGACACGGCCCAGGACUCCUACGGGAGGCAGCAGUGGGGAAUAUUGCGCAAUGGGCGAAAGCCUGACGCAGCGACGCCGCGUGGGUGAUGAAGGCC